CGAACGCUGGCGGCGUGCUUAACACAUGCAAGUCGAACGGUGAAGCGCCUUCCUUUUUGGUGGGUGUGGAUGGGUGGCGAACGGGUGAGUAACACGUGAGUAACCUGCCCCCUUCUUCUGGAUAACCGCAUGAAAGUGUGGCUAAUACGGGAUAUUCUGGGUCUGUCGCAUGAUGGGUCUGGGAAAGAUAUUGUUUCGGUGGGGGAUGGGCUCGCGGCCUAUCAGCUUGUUGGUGGGGUGAUGGCCUACCAAGGCGGUGACGGGUAGCCGGCCUGCGAGGGUGGACGGUCACACUGGGACUGAGACACGGCCCAGACUCCUACGGGAGGCAGCAGUGGGGAAUAUUGCACAAUGGGCGCAAGCCUGAUGCAGCGACGCCGCGUGAGGGAUGGAGGCCUUCGGGUUGUGAACCUCUUUCGCCAGUGAAGCAGGCCUGCCUCGUUUGUGGGUGGGUUGACGGUAGCUGGAUAAGAAGCGCCGGCUAACUACGUG
rnacentral:rRNA from 1 species